UUUUAUAUGAUUUCCCUUUCCCGUUGCUUUAGCAUUCUUCAUUAUUUUGGGUUUGUCUCAGCACAGGCGUUUUUCUUUCCUUCUCUUCUUCUUCUUCUUCUUCCCUUUGGAUCAUCCGAAAGCUACGACCAACACCAAACACGUUUUGCUCAAAAAGCACCUACGGCACCGAGUUUUUUUUUAUUAUUCUCAAAAGCAAAAACAGUUAACUCUUAAUUCUUAUAUAAAUAAUUCACACGAAGAAUACGAAUUCAAAUUCGAAUUCCAUUGGUUUUUAUAUCCCUGUUUGCUCUUUGAAUGAUAGCUUUGUAAACCUAGGUUUCGCGAAAUUAUUCGGUGUGUAGCGCUUUGGGAAAUGAUGGCUUUAACGUAUCGCGAGGAGGAAGAGGAGUCGUCGCGGUGGUAGUGAUCGGGGGGAGGAGGAGGUGUAGUAGGAGGAGGAGGAGGAGGUGAAACGACGCGUAAUGGACUGUCGGGUGUGCGUGGCGGCAGGGGAUUGGCUGGCGAGGUGGGCCGGUGGAGGAGGAGGAGCGGGCCAGAUCGGAGGAGGGUUCAGCCACGAGAGCGAGCACGACUUGGCGCUUAUGGUCAGCGAUUUCUUGGAGAACGGGAGCGGUGGGGCCGACUCCCGGUGUAGCAGUGACAGUGACUCGGCUCUCUCCGAUCUCACCAACCCCGCCGAGAAGAUUCCGUUUUGUAAGAUCCCGGUGGCUCAGUAUGAGAGUGACAUGCUUUCAGUGGUUAAUUCUCUUAUACUAUCUAUCAAUGAGACCGACCUUCAAGUUGUCAAGUCGAGUGCAUGUAACGCCAGCUGCAUCAGAUUUUCUCUGGUAAAGCUUCUGAGACGUUCUGGUUAUGAUGCUGCUGUAUGUGCAACCAAAUGGCAGGGUAUUGGCAAGGUCCCUGGAGGGGAUCAUGAAUAUAUUGAUGUGGUCAACUACAACAGCACUGGAACCUCUGAGCGUUUGAUCAUUGAUAUUGAUUUCCGAAGUCACUUUGAAAUAGCUCGAGCUGUUGACUCAUAUGAUAGAAUAUUGAAUUCGCUUCCAGUCAUUUAUGUGGGCUCCUUGUCCAGGCUGAAACAGUUUCUUCAGAUAAUGGUUGAGGCUGCUAGAUCUUCUCUCAAGCAGAACUCAAUGCCACUUCCUCCCUGGAGAUCACUCGCAUAUCUUCAGGCUAAGUGGCAGUCGCCCUAUGAGAGGCAGUUUAAUCCAGAAGAACAGAAGAUUAGCAAGACUAGUUUUGUUGACCAUAUGCAAUGUAGUGGACAUUUGAAGAGGCUGCAGUCUCUGCUUCAAUCUGAAAUGGAAGCAGAGCGACUCUUGAAGCCCAUGAACAGCGAUAAUAACUGGAGACUGAAGCCUGAGAGGCGGAGGCACUCUUUGUUCCGGAAUCUUUAAGGUGUACAGAUUUUGGCCUUGGAGAUGAGAGAGUUUCUCUCAAGAGAGAUUGUAUUGCGGCUUUCUAUUUUGAGUAUUUUCAAUUCUUUCUCCCUGAUGCUAAAUUAGUUACGACCUGAGCAAAGGGCAGGUUUCAUAUAGUCAUCGAUGGUGAUAGCAAUAAGCCAUAACAUGGCAGAGACAUUCCUUUUUUCCCCUAUCAUGGUGCAGAACCCAACAAGUCAGUGCUGGUCCUCUCUUGCAUCACCAACAGCCAGGCCGAAUUGGUUGGUAUCUUGCUUGACCAUGUCACAUUUCUUUUAUACUUGUUGAAUGGCUUGAAGAUAUAGCGGAACUUUGACCUUUUCUGUUGUCAUUUGUCAAUAACGACCACGCCCAGCUCUUCCCAAGCAUGGAUAACUUCGUGUGGCUGUGGUAAAGGGGCCCAGAACGGUCAAAGUUGUACUGCGGAACAAUUUGGAAACUACGAGGAAAAAGUACUUGAAUUGACUGUCCUUUUAUACUUGCCGAAAACAUCGUCUCUUAUUUAAUUGAUUGGGAAUGUUCAAUUCUUGGUUUAUAAAAUGUGCAAUGGCAUUUUCUGCA